rnacentral:rRNA from 1 species
GACGAACCGUGCGAACGUUGUUCGGAAUCACUGGGCUUAAAGGGCGCGUAGGCGGGUCAUCAAGUCAGGGGUGAAAUCCUGCGGCUCAACCGCAGAAGUGCCUUUGAUACUGAUGGUCUCGAGGGAGGUAGGGGCAUGUGGAACCUCCGGUGGAGCGGUGAAAUGCGUAGAUAUCGGAAGGAACGCCGGUGGCGAAAGCGACGUGCUGGACCUCUACUGACGCUGAGGCGCGAAAGCCAGGGGAGCAAACGGG